rnacentral:rRNA from 2 species
CACAUGCAAGUCGAACGAUGAAACUUAGAUGGUUUCUUCGGAAUGAACUUAAGUGGAUUAGUGGCGAACGGGUGAGUAACACGUGAGUAACCUGCCUUACACAAGGGGAUAGCCUCUGGAAACGGAGAAUAAUACCCUAUAAAGUCUAAUCAGCCCAUGCUGGAAAGACCAAAGAUUUAUCGGUGUAAGAUGGACUUGCGUCUGAUUAGCUAGUUGGUGAGAUAAAAGCUCACCAAGGCGACGAUCAGUAGCCGGCUUGAGAGAGUGUACGGCCACAUUGGGACUGAGACACGGCCCAAACUCCUACGGGAGGCAGCAGUGGGGAAUUUUGCACAAUGGGGGAAACCCUGAUGCAGCGACGCCGCGUGAUUUAGAAGGCCUUCGGGUUGUAAAAAUCUUUUUUACGGGAUGAAAAUGACAGUACCGUAAGAAUAAGGUCCGGCUAAAUACGUGCCAGCCGCCGCGGUAA